GAGCGCCAGGCAAAUCUUUUGUUACAAACACUGCAGCUGAAUCUUUUCUCUCCUGUGUGGACCGCCAUGUGUGACCAUAAACCUUCUCUCUGUGUAAAAGAUUUCUUACAGACUGAGCAGCUGAAAGGUUUUUCUCCUGUGUGAGUUAUCAUGUGUUUCUUCAGGGUUCCAUUUUCAGUAAAAGCUCUACCACACUCAGAGCAGCUAAAAGGUUUUUUUCCUGUGUGACUUAUCAUGUGUGUCUUCAGAUGUGACUUGAAGCCAAAUCUUUUCCCACACUCAGAGCAGCUGAAUGGUUUCUUACAUCUUGAAUCAUGUUUCAGAGAGUUUAAAGCUGACUG